rnacentral:ncRNA from 1 species
GGGGGAGUAUGGUUGCAAAGCUGAAACAAAGGACUUGAUGGAAGGGCACCACCAGAGUGGAGGCUGCAGCUUAAUUUGACUCAACAUGGGAAACCUCGCCUGGACACGGACAGGAUUGACAGAUUGAUAGCUCUUUCUCGAUUCUGUGGGUGGUGGUUCAUGGCUGUUCUUAGUUGGAGCGAUUUGUCUGGUUAAUUCUGAAAACGAAUGAGACUCUGGCAUGCUAAUUAGUUACAUGACCCCUAAGCGGUCGGUGUCCCCCAACUUCUCAGAGGGACAAGUGGCAUUCAGCCCCCCGAGACUGAGCAAUAACAGGUCUGUGAUGCCCUUAGAUGUCCGGGUCUGCACGUGUGCUACACUGACUGGCUCAGUGUGUGCCUACCCUAUGCUGGCAGGUGCGGGUAACCCAUUGAACCCCAUUCAUGAUGGGGAUUGGGGAUUGCAAUUAUUCCCCAUGAAGGAGGAAUUCCCAGGAAGUGCCGGUCAUAAGCUUGCAUUGAUUAAGUCCCUGCCCUUUGCACACACCACCCAUCGCUACUACCAAUUGGAUGGUUUAGUGAGUACCUUGGAUUGGCCCCGCCGGGGUCAGCCCAUGGCCCUGGCAGAGCACUAAGACAGUCGAACUUUAUCUAGAAGGAAGUAAAAGUCAUAACAAGGUUUCUGUAGGUGAACCUGCAGAAG